rnacentral:lncRNA from 1 species
GUGAAUUGGUCCUGGAUAGUGCAAUACGGUGAUCUGUAGCUCACUUGAUCAGUGAGUGUGGUUUGUGUGGGGAAUAAAUUCGCCAGCUGGUUAGAAAUCGAUUCGAAUCGCCAUCGCUCCUGGAUAUUGAGCACUUGACAUGAGCUUCGUCCUCGUAAUAAGGACUAUGGAACACUUGGGUUAUAAUGAUAAAUGGUUGCAUGAAUGCUAUGAUGAGGUACCAUCAUAUUACUAUACUUGCUUGUAAUAGUACAGGUGCAAACCUAGAGAAUAGGUAAUGAUACUUCAACUUGAGCUAAUUAAAAGAAGGAGGACCUCUAUAGAAUUUUGAUUAACCGAAGAGUGCUUUUAUGCAAAAAGGUUGUCAGCUACCCCACUAUAUAGCCUUCAUGAUCCUUGAAGAGUCUUUACUUUAAUUUAUGACGGGUAAGUCUAGUUGAGUACAUUCUCGUACUCAGGGUUCUAUUCCCAUGUUGUUUUGCAGAUGGUCAAAUGUACGUAGAAUUAGGGGUACCUCGGUAUCCAUUCAAAAAAAAGGAAAAAAAAUGAUGGCCCAUGGUCCCUCUAAUAAGCAAUAUGCCAGCAAGAGUUGACAAAGAUUUUAAUUUCCAAAGUCUUUGAUCUAAGAGUAUGACAUUCCCCUCGUCGGAUACCGUUUUGAUCAGGCAAUAAAUGCAAAGUAAGUAUGCUUGAGAAUUUUGCAAAUUAAAAUAACCUCAGUGAGAUAUAUAAAAGAUAAUGAGUGAUCUGAGAAGAACCUAUGAGGAUAAAAAGGUAUGCUAACUUUCUUUCAAAAAUAUACAAAAACUCCAAGUGACAGGAUUGAGAAGAAAGGAUCUUUACUCUUAACCAUAUACUUCCCUGACUAUGGUACACAGUGGAUUUUUAACACCCUGCAUUAUAAAAAGAAUGUUUUAAAUGUUUACCCCAGAUAUUUUUCUUAACCAUCCUUUUCUCGAGGACGAGUAAAAGCCUAAGUAUGGGGGUAUUUGUCGACGGUUCUUAAGUAUCAAUUUUAAUUAUCAAAUAAACAAGGGAAAGGACUAAUAUGCAACCAACACCUAGAAUUAGGGUUUGAUCUGACAGAAUUCCAUGAGUUUUGUUGUUUAUCUAUUUCUGCAGGGGGUUAUCAGGAAAUAAGGAAGAAAGGCCCACAUGUCGGGAUUACAUAGAGAUAUCAAUGCACCGCACGAUUUUCUACCAUCUAGAAGACUCCAGAAGCCACGGGAAGAGAACAGAGGCCGAAAGGGGCC